rnacentral:lncRNA from 1 species
UCUGCCUGAAGAAGAGCUGCAGGAGGUGAGGACGGAGAGGAGGAGAGGCCUGGAAGCUCUUCUGACAAGAGAAUCGUCUAUGCCACUGGCGUUCUGAGUGUGGCUGUCACUGACUGGGACACGACGGUGCCUCAAAAUCCACCCUGUGUGCUCAGAGCCACUUCCUGCGACUGCCUCUGCCCAGAGAGCAAGCAUAGCGGGCACUCAGGCCCGCCCGUGGCUGCAAGACUCGGGGCUCCCGUGCUGGGUGACCUUGGCGGGAAGACCUCCCUUCAGUCUCACCAAACUGUCCUAGAACUGCACACAGUCAAAGAUACAUCCAUCUGGCUUCCUUGCGUCCUCUCUGGUUCAAAUGGGGCCGAGCUGCGCUGCGGUGCAACAGCGCCCCCUGGCUUCGUUCCGGUUUUCCCAGCGGACUUCCCCUCUUACUCAUCUCUCGCUUCUCUAUCCCUGUCUUGGUUCUCCUUUUGGAGGACCUAGCCGAAUACAAGAGGCAAGACAGCCUUUGUGCACAUUAGGAAACGCCUGCACCACCCCUACUGCCCGUGACUAGAUCCCCACAGAACCAGAUGUGGGGAGAAGAGGAAACGACGACAAAUCAAAGGUGCCCCCUCCGGGGGGUCCCCCAGGUGCACCCCAGGGUGCUUUUCUUCAACAAGAGUCUACCAACCGACUAUAUGCG